rnacentral:lncRNA from 1 species
CAUACGGCCAAGCCCAUUUCAACGGGGCAGGAUGUAUAUUCCUCUUCUUGGAGGCACUGCAGAUCACAUGCAGAGCGCAUUUCCAACCACAUGCUAGGUGCCUCAUCUGUCAUAUCCAAAGCAAAGGAACUGGUCAAGGGGGCAAGUGAAGGAGUCCAUCACACUGGAGAGCAGGCAUGCUGCUCACUCUCCCAGGGGCAGGAGCAGCUCAAGUUGUGAUUUUCUGCCAGGGACCUCUCCAGACUGUGAUUUGUUGGGAACAAGCCACCAUGAACAUGUUCUCGGGUCCCCAUCUUGCUGCCAUUGCAUGAGAAAUGGAACUUAGCAAACAUGUAGCAGAGCCGAGAUUUCUAAAUUCUACAGGGCUGUUCUGAGGGGUUGGAAUGACGCAUACUCACAAGCAAACAAAAGAGAACGAUGAGUGCCUACACUUGGUCAUGGAGUAUAUCUUCAGGAAUGUUCAUUGGAAGGAGGAAUGAAGAAGAAAUUGACCCGUCCAUUUUCUCUUGCCUCUCUUUGGCCAAGAUGGCACUAUGAGGAAUUAACUACCUUGCAUUCCAGCUUGCUGCUGCAUUUGUGCAGGAAAUAUUAAGCUUGCUGAUGAGAAAGGAGAAGAAGUAGAGAAAACAACGUACAGUUAGGCCUAUAGGAAUCUGCCGAGGGGAACUGACAAGCCCUGCUCAGUCUUGCCCACUGUCUGCUUGGAGGAUCAGGAUGAGUUUGUUUACUUGAGACUACAUAGGAGUCAAGAACACAUUAAUCCUGUGAUGAAUGGACACCUUGCCUCUUCUUAUCCUUGGCCUCCUUAUGAAACUACCACCAUCUUGUUAAUUUGGGAAGUUUGUUGCUUUAUCAUUUCUUACUAUUGAGAAAUCUAAAUGGCAUAACAUUGUAAUACAAUUGUAAUCUUUACAUUCCCUUAAAUAUAUCUGGAGCAAUUUUCCAUUUUAUUACAUAAUCUUCUACAGUACAAUUUUAAUAAAAC